UCCCUACACCUCCCACUAACCCUUCAACAGUACUGAGUAAUUCUAUAUUCCUAUAGAAACUUUUAUGUUAAAACUAGUAACAAGAAGAAGACCUUCUCUUAAAUGCAUCUGUAAAUCAGAAAGGACCAACCACUGAUAAUUAACUUCUAUGAACUCAAAGUAACAACUCAACUAGAAAAAAUUACUAACCAUAACGUUAACCUAACACAAGAGCAUUACAAGAAAGAUUUAAAGAGAAAGAAGGAACUCGGCAAACAUUAACCCCGCCUGUUUACCAAAAACAUCGCCUCUUGGAAAACAUAAGAGGUCCAGCCUGCCCAGUGACACUGUUCAACGGCCGCGGUAUCCUAACCGUGCGAAGGUAGCGUAAUCACUUGUCCUUUAAAUGAGGACUAGUAUGAAUGGCACCACGAGGGUUAUACUGUCUCCUUUCUCUAAUCAGUGAAACUAAUCUCCCCGUGAAGAAGCGAGGAUAUUUCUAUAAGACGAGAAGACCCUAUGGAGCUUUAAACAAAACAACAUCUGCUACUUUCACUUACCGAUUUCAGAAAAUUAACUCUUAUUUUAGCAUUAUACUUGUUAGUUUUAGGUUGGGGUGACCGCGGAGCAAAAAAUAACCUCCACAUUGAAAGGGACUUCCCCUAAGCAAAAAACCACAACUUUAUGCAUCAAUAAAUUGACAUUAAUUGACCCAAUAUUUUGAUCAACGAAACAAGUUACCCUAGGGAUAACAGCGCAAUCCACUUUGAGAGUCCAUAUCGACAAGUGGGUUUACGACCUCGAUGUUGGAUCAGGGUACCCCAGUGGUGCAGCCGCUACUAAA
rnacentral:rRNA from 1 species